GACGAACCGUGCGAACGUUAUUCGGAAUCAUUGGGCUUAAAGGGCGCGUAGGCGGCGGUGUAAGUUGGAAGUGAAAUCCCAUCGGCUCAACCGUGGAAUUGCUCCCAGUACUGCAUCGCUCGAGGGGAUAGGGGUCUGCGGAACUACCGGUGGAGCGGUGAAAUGUGUUGAUAUCGGUGGGAACGCCAGUGGCGAAAGCGGCAGACUAGACCCUUCCUGACGCUGAUGCGCGAAAGCUAGGGGAGCAAACGGG
rnacentral:rRNA from 1 species